CUCGUAGGUGGCUAACUAAGUCAGACGUGAAAUCCCCAGGCUUAACCUGGGAACUGCGUCUGAUACUGGAUGGCUUGAAUUCGGGAGAGGGAUGCAGAAUUCCAGGUGUAGCGGUGAGAUGCGUAGAUAUCUGGAGGAAUACCGGUGGCGAAGGCGGCAUCCUGGACCGAGAUUGACACUGAUGAGCGAAAGCCAGGGAGCAAAC
rnacentral:rRNA from 1 species